UACGAAGGGGGGCUAGCGUUGUUCGGAAUCACUGGGCGUAAAGCGCACGUAGGCGGACUCUUAAGUCGGUGGUGAAAUCCUGGAGCUCAACUCCAGAACUGCCUUCGAUACUGGGAGUCUCGAGUCCGGGAGAGGUGAGUGGAACUGCGAGUGUAGAGGUGAAAUUCGUAGAUAUUCGCAAGAACACCAGUGGCGAAGGCGGCUCACUGGCCCGGUACUGACGCUGAGGUGCGAAAGCGUGGGGAGCAAACAGGG
rnacentral:rRNA from 1 species